AGUGAACGCUGGCGGUAGGCCUAACACAUGCAAGUCGAACGGCAGCACAGUAAGAGCUUGCUCUUACGGGUGGCGAGUGGCGGACGGGUGAGGAAUACAUCGGAAUCUACUUUUUCGUGGGGGAUAACGUAGGGAAACUUACGCUAAUACCGCAUACGACCUACGGGUGAAAGCAGGGGAUCUUCGGACCUUGCGCGAUUGAAUGAGCCGAUGUCGGAUUAGCUAGUUGGCGGGGUAAAGGCCCACCAAGGCGACGAUCCGUAGCUGGUCUGAGAGGAUGAUCAGCCACACUGGAACUGAGAGACGGUCCAGACUCCUACGGGAGGCAGCAGUGGGGAAUAUUGGACAAUGGGCGCAAGCCUGAUCCAGCCAUACCGCGUGGGUGAAGAAGGCCUUCGGGUUGUAAAGCCCUUUUGUUGGGAAAGAAAAGCAGCAGGUUAAUACCCCGCUGUUCUGACGGUACCCAAAGAAUAAGCACCGGCUAACUUCGU
rnacentral:rRNA from 1 species